CCCCAGUAACGGCGAGUGAAGCGGCUACAGCUCAAAUUUGAAAUCUGGCCCCCUCCGGGGGGUCCGAGUUGUAAUUUGCAGAGGAUGCUUUGGCGUUGGCGGCGGUCUAAGUUCCUUGGAACAGGACAUCGCAGAGGGUGAGAAUCCCGUACGUGGGCGCCUGCCUUCGCCGUGUAAAGCUCCUUCGACGAGUCGAGUUGUUUGGGAAUGCAGCUCUAAAUGGGAGGUAAAUUUCUCCUAAAGCUAAAUACCGGCCAGAGACCGAUAGCGCACAAGUAGAGUGAUCGAAAGAUGAAAAGUACUUUGGAAAGAGAGUCAAAUAGCACGUGAAAUUGUUGAAAGGGAAGCGCUUGCAGCCAGACUUGCCCGCAGUUGCUCACCCAGGCUCCCGCCUGGGGCACUCUUCCGCGGGCAGGCCAGCAUCAGUUUGGGCGGUCGGACAAAGGUCUCUGUCACGUACCACCCUCCGGGGUGGCCUUAUAGGGGAGACGCAAUGCGACCAGCCCGGACUGAGGUCCGCGCAUCUGCUAGGAUGCUGGCGUAAUGGCUGUAAGCGGCCCGUCUUGAAACACGGACCAAGGAGUCUAACAUCUAUGCGAGUGUUUGGGUGUCAAGCCCGGGCGCGUAAUGAAAGUGAACGGAGGUGGGAACCCCUCGCGGGGCGCACCAUCGACCGAUCCUGAUGUCUUCGGAUGGAUUUGAGUAAGAGCAUAGCUGUUGGGACCCGAAAGAUGGUGAACUAUGCUUGAAUAGGGUGAAGCCAGAGGAAACUCUGGUGGAGGCUCGCAGCGGUUCUGACGUGCAAAUCGAUCGUCAAAUUUGGGCAUAGGGGCGAAAGACUAAUCG
rnacentral:rRNA from 1 species